AUUGAACGCUGGCGGCAUGCCUUACACAUGCAAGUCGAACGGCAGCACGGGGGCGAACCCUGGUGGCGAGUGGCGAACGGGUGAGUAAUACAUCGGAACGUGCCCAGUAGUGGGGGAUAGCCCGGCGAAAGCCGGAUUAAUACCGCAUGCGACCUACGGGUGAAAGCGGGGGAUCGCAAGACCUCGCGCUGUUGGAGCGGCCGAUGUCAGAUUAGGUUGUUGGUGGGGUAAAGGCCUACCAAGCCGACGAUCUGUAGCUGGUCUGAGAGGACGACCAGCCACACUGGGACUGAGACACGGCCCAGACUCCUACGGGAGGCAGCAGUGGGGAAUUUUGGACAAUGGGGGCAACCCUGAUCCAGCCAUGCCGCGUGCGGGAAGAAGGCCU
rnacentral:rRNA from 1 species